rnacentral:misc_RNA from 1 species
GAUGAAGAACGUAGCGAAAUGCGAUAAGUAAUGUGAAUUGCAGAAUUCAGUGAAUCAUCGAAUCUUUGAACGCACAUUGCGCCCUCUGGUAUUCCGGGGGACAUGCCUGUUCGAGCGUCAUUAUAACCACUCAAGCUCUCGCUUGGUAUUGGGGUUCGCGGUUUCGCGGCCCCUAAAAUCAGUGGCGGUGCCUGUCGGCUCUACGCGUAGUAAUACUUCUCGCGAUUGAGUUCGAUAGGUCUACUUGCCAGUAACCCCCAAUUUUUACAGGUUGACCUCGGAUCAGGUAGGGAUACCCGCUGAACUUAAGCAUAUCAAUAAGCGGAGGA